GGACCGGUAGCUCAAUGGAUUAGAGCAGCACUCUUAUAAGGUGCAAGUUGUGCGUUCGAGUCGCACCCGGUCUA
rnacentral:tRNA from 1 species